rnacentral:rRNA from 1 species
UACGUAGGGGGCAAGCGUUAUCCGGAUUUACUGGGUGUAAAGGGAGCGUAGACGGUGUGGCAAGUCUGAUGUGAAAGGCAUGGGCUCAACCUGUGGACUGCAUUGGAAACUGUCAUACUUGAGUGCCGGAGGGGUAAGCGGAAUUCCUAGUGUAGCGGUGAAAUGCGUAGAUAUUAGGAGGAACACCAGUGGCGAAGGCGGCUUACUGGACGGUAACUGACGUUGAGGUUCGAAAGCGUGGGGAGCAAACAGG